ACGGGAGGCAGCAGUGGGGAAUAUUGGGCAAUGGGCGAGAGCCUGACCCAGCAACGCCGCGUGAAGGAAGAAGGUUUUCGGAUUGUAAGCUUCUUUUAUCAGGGACGAAGAAAGUGACGGUACCUGAUGAAUAAGCCACGGCUAACUACGUGCCAGCAGCCGCGGUAAUACGUAGGUGGCAAGCGUUAUCCGGAUUUACUGGGUGUAAAGGGCGCGUAGGCGGGGAUGCAAGUCAGGUGUGAAAUCCAUGGGCUUAACCCAUGAACUGCACUUGAAACUGUAUCUCUUGAGUGUCGGAGAGGUAGACGGAAUCCCUAGUGUAGCGGUGAAAUGCGUAGAUAUUAGGAGGAACACCAGUGGCGAAGGCGGUCUACUGGACGAUAACUGACGCUGAGGCGCGAAAGCGUGGGGAGCAAACAGGAUUAGAUACCCUGGUA
rnacentral:rRNA from 1 species